GGUGGGAUGGCCGAGUGGUCUAAGGCGCUGGUUUUAGGAAAUAAUCACCAGUCAGAAAUGGCGCGGGUUCGAAUCCCGCUCCCAUCA